AUGCCAGUGCUCUUCUUAGAAGAUGUCCUGGGAAAAAAAAGGAUUGAACGUAGGAACUACUUCAGCCAUGGACCAAAUUACACUUGGCGUAUUGAUGGUUUUCUAGGAAAAUCAUUUGGCUUAAGGCUGGCACCUCAAACCGACAGCAAACCUUCGUUGCAAGGUACUUCUUUGAUGCCAUUCAGGAACACAGUGGUUGCCCACGAUUCAUAAGGGCAGACAGAGGAAAGGAAAAUCUUCUCGUCGGACAGAUGCAAGUGGCAUUUCACUUCCGGGAGUCUGGUGAUCAAGGACGAGACUCCUUCAGAGUGGGCACAUCAGUACAUAACCAGGCAUGUGAGCAUAAAUGGAUUUAUAUAUUAUAAUGCAUGCAAUAAAUAUACCAACUGCUGGCCA
ensembl:lncRNA